rnacentral:misc_RNA from 1 species
UCCGGAUUGUCUCCGGCAGUCUCACUAGAGUGCCCAACUUAAUGAUGGCAACUAGCAAUAAGGGUUGCGCUCGUUGCGGGACUUAACCCAACAUCUCACGACACGAGCUGACGACAACCAUGCACCACCUGUCUAUCUGCCCCGAAAGGCUUCCUCGAUUAAGAGUAAUUCAGACGAUGUCAAGUUCUGGUAAGGUUCUUCGCGUUGCUUCGAAUUAAACCACAUGCUCCGCUGCUUGUGCGGGCCCCCGUCAAUUCCUUUGAGUUUCAACCUUGCGGCCGUACUCCCCAGGCGGGAUACUUAUUGCGUUUACUGCGGCACGGAAGGGGUCGAUACCUCCCACACCUAGUAUCCAUCGUUUACAGCGUGGACUAC